UCACUCAUCAAUUUUGUAGAAAGGCAAUGGUGUUAAAUUUAGUUUAGGAGGCCAAAGAAUUGCACAUUCUUCUUUCCUUUAUGAGAAUGAGAUAAAGAACAAGAAAACAAGCUGAAAUCAAAGAAUCAGUCAAAAGUAAAAAGGGUGACAAGCUAAGAUCAAUGAGGAUCAGUUUUAAUUCCUCCUAUUUUACCUGAUAAUUGCCUGGUUAUUAAUUUUGUAGUGUUAAUUAAUAUUACUCAUACUUAAUGAGGCACUGCAAAAUUCUGAGUCAUUAAGGAAAGUCAAAGUAUAUUUCCAUGUUUACUGAGAAAACAAAGAAUACUUCUUUUUUAAAAUUUCAAUAACGGAAGUGCAACAAGGAAAAAUGACACAAAGAAUAACAUUCACUUAACCAUUCACUGAUUUAACUGGUAUUUAUAUGGAGCACCCACCAUGUAUCAGCAGCUCUGUAGGUGUAAUGAGGUUACAGGAAUAAACAAGACUAGAAAUUUCCGUGAAGGUCAUAGAGCUUAAAUUCAAGCAACCAGAAAAAAAUUACAUUGCUCAUUAUAAUUCUCUACCAGAUUUCUAAGCUGAUUCUGUUUUUUUCUGUUUUGUUGUUUAUUUUAUCAUUAGCAGCAAAUAUUCAGAAAAAAAAAAUCUUUAAUUUUAUGUCAGAAAGUGCAAUAACAUUAUUGUUUCCUAUAAUCCAAAUUUGUUUCAUAAAACUGUCACACUGCACCAUUCCUUGAAUACUUCUUACAAAUUGAAUCUUGUAUGACUGCUCAAGAAAACUAUCCAAACAAUGUUAAAAAGCAGAAAAGACACAAGAGAGAAAAAGGACUAAGAAAAACAGAAGAAAAGAGUAACCCUACUUAAUAGAAAAAGAACAUUUUGCAUAGUGAGUGUUUGGCUUAUUAUUCAUGCCUUCACCUCCCAGCCUUCUGAGGGAUGGAGUACACAUGCACAGAUUGGGCAUACUCCAUUUGUAAAUGUGUUACCAAUUACAUUAGUCAGUAAAAUUUCCCUGUAACUAUAACGCUUGGGUCCCUGCUAAAAGGGAGUUUAGAGAACACUACCUAGAUCUAAGGCUGAAGGGCAUCCUCUGACCUCCCAUUCUAAAUUAGAAUUUGAAAGCCACAGAGGAGUGUGUACCUCCUUUGAAGAGCACACACCGUCCCAUGAAAACCACUCUCAGGGUCUUGCCCAGAAGUGCCUCCAGCAUAGGGUUUGGAAGCAGAUAGUCGAAGCAUAGCAGCCCCAGAUGUGAAAGCAAGGAAAAAGUGCUAGCUGUGCCUGAGUGCAGCAGCUGAAAGAAAGGUAAAAUAGGACUUGAUUUUUGUGACUGUGGAACAAUAGCUUUUGCCACUCAUGACACGUGACUCAGUGGAUAGAUGUCAGGGUCUGAUUUAUCGGAUUCAUCCUCUCUCCUCCUCACUUGGAGUGGAGACAGUGAUAGGGUGAAAUGGAUUGAAUUAUUCCACUCAUAGAAAAGUGAGGUGAGACUGACACACAGAAGAGAGAAAGAAAAGAGAGGACCAGGUACAGGAGAAAUGCAUAAAUUGUAACAGCAAUUUAGAGAGGAUCAGAUAUUUUGAGCAUGCUUUCAACUCUUUACUUUCUAUCCUUUACAUACUAACCUUUGUGGAUAUGUUGUAUAUAAUUACAGAUAAAGGCAUGUUAUAUAUUAAUUAUAUCAUCAAUGGACUGUUUUAUUACUUCUUUCAACCAAUUCUUCAAUUUUACUCAAGCUGCAAAUCACACUAUCAAAAGUUAAAGAUGAAAAACACUUGCAAGGUCACGGCUUGUCCUUUUUCCUGAGUAGGGGGAGGAAAACCAGUGUUUUCUUCAGUAUUUUGUAAAAGUGAUAUUCUAUCUUUCCACGCUUGUGUGCACUACUGAGGUCUGCGCAAAUGCUCUUGCUUUGCUGGUUGGUUUUGCUCAGAGACAGGUUUUAAAUGCACUAGAGGAAAGCAGCUUUUGCUAAAUGUUUUAUAACGUGUCAGGAAACCUUUAUCGAACAUUUAAUCCAAAACCUGGCUUUGAACCAGGGAGGCAUACAAUUUCGUAAUUAAUUUUUUAACCUUCUUUUGCUAAUCGCUGAUAAAAAGCUUAAUUCUAUUAACAACUCGACUUGACAAAUUGCACCGCUCAAUGGAAGCGUUUAGAAAUUAAUUACGCAUUUUAUUGCAUUAGAUCGGAUAAACAAGGAAGGAUCAGCAAGGAAAAGGAAAACCCAAAAAGAAGGAAAAUGGCCAAAUAUAUACAAUCCACUGGUGUCUGACUAUUUCCAUUAUUAUUCAAUGUGUCACCAAAAAAAAUAAAUAAAUAAACAAACCUCUCAGCAGUAUCUCCUACUAAAGUGUGGUUUUUGCCUCUAGCAUAGGUUAGUAACACGUUUUUGUUUUUCCUGGAAGCAUACAUUUUUUUCCUCCUAUAGCCAAAGCUGAUUUGGAUUUCUGUAGGGAUUUCUUGCUUAAUUGUCAUAGAAGCUCAGCCCUUCCCCUCCUUACAUUCACCAGCAUCUGGUUUUAGGUCUCCCAGUGCCUGGCCUUCAGGGAUUUAACUUAAGAGUAGCAAAUUGUAAGGUAGGUGUGAUAAUGUGCUACCAAAGUAUUAAAAAUAAGAGGGGAAAAAAGAUUAAAUUGGCUUCCACUUCACUUCUCCAGCUAAAGUUAAAUGCUCCAGCGGUCAGAAGACCAUGUGCAAUUUUUAUGGUUCUCUUUGUCUAUAAAUACACAUGUUUCAAAAUGGCUGUUGAAAAAGACUUCUGGCACAUAAUCAAACUGUUCUAGCUUGUGGACUCCUGCAUUGUGUCUGCUCUAACCAAAGACUUUUAAGCUGUAGCAAACUUGUCAAUAAAUUCAUAUUUAAAGCACCAUGUUCUUUCUCUCUCUUGUAUGAUUUUGCAGCUCUCUGGCCAACAUUCUUUUCCUUCUCUUACUUGAUAAAAUAUAACUGCCCUUUUGGAAUUUCUUCUUUAGUUAGUAGUGCACUCAGUUGUUGAGUUCUUUUUUGAUUCAGUAAUUCUCAAGUCAGUACAUAAGCAAGUUAUUAAAACAAACAUCACUACUGAUGGUGAUGGGUCGUUUGUACGUGGAAAGCACCUAGAAGGGUGCCCGGCACAUAGUAUGCCCUCAGUGUGUUUUCUGUCUAUUAAUAGUAGAGUGUAUUGCAAGACUAGGGAUGAGAAAAAGC
rnacentral:lncRNA from 1 species